UACGUAGGGUGCAAGCGUUGUCCGGAAUUAUUGGGCGUAAAGAGCUCGUAGGCGGUUUGUCGCGUCGGCUGUGAAAACUUGUGGUUCAACUACAAGCUGGCGGUCGAUACGGGCAGGCUGGAGUUCGGUAGGGGAGACUGGAAUUCCUGGUGUAGCGGUGAAAUGCGCAGAUAUCAGGAGGAACACCGGUGGCGAAGGCGGGUCUCUGGGCCGAUACUGACGCUGAGGAGCGAAAGCGUGGGGAGCGAACAGG
rnacentral:rRNA from 1 species